rnacentral:rRNA from 1 species
UACGAAGGGGGCUAGCGUUGCUCGGAAUGACUGGGCGUAAAGGGCGCGUAGGCGGAAUGCUUUGUCGGGCGUGAAAGUCCAGGGCUCAACCCUGGAAGGCCGGUGGAAACUGUCGGGCUAGAGUCCGGAAGAGGCGAGUGGAAUUCCCGGUGUAGCGGUGAAAUGCGCAGAUAUCGGGAGGAACACCAAUGGCGAAGGCAGCUCGCUGGGACGGUACUGACGCUGAGACGCGAAAGCGUGGGGAGCAAACAGG